AGUUUUAGAUUGCAAGCAAAAGUGUUGUCAAAGGGGCCACUUAGAAAGAUCGACAAAAUCAUUCGGGCCCUCAUCUGGCGAAAAGAGGAACAAUCUCAGACCUCGGGAGGUAACUCCCUUGUUAACUGGAAGACCGUCUGCCGCCCAAGGCACUUGGGCGGUCUUGGGAUCAUGGACCUGGAGGGUUUUAGCCGUGCCCUACGCCUCCGGUGGCCGUGGCUGCAAUGGACUGACCCAGAAAGGCCAUGGGUAGGAUUGGAGCUCCCGUGUGACCAAAUAGACAUGAUCCUCUUUCGCGCGUGUACCUCGAUUACGCUGGGCAAUGGGCAUAAGACACUGUUCUGGCAUGCAAACUGGAUCAGUGAUGGCCCACUCAAGGUUCGAGCUCCAGAGCUUUACAAGAUUACCUCCGGAUAGAACAGAUCGGUGCACAACGAGCUCAUGAACAAGAACUGGAUUAGGGCGGUGGCCAGACUGCAGACCAUUAAUCAGCUGGGAGAAUUCGUGUAUCUCUCGAAUCACAUUAGUCAGAUCACCCUCAUCCCUGACCAGUAGGACACCAGUAACGGGAACUUAACCACCUCGGGGACAUACUCGGCCGCCUCUUCUUACGGCGCAAUAUUAUUUGGCUCCUACUCACGUUUCGACACGACCAAGGUUUGGUCCGCAAACGCCGAGCCCAAGUGCAAGUUCUUUGCUUGGCUAGCUCUACACGGAAGAAUCAUCACUGCGGAUAUGCUGGCCGUGAGGGGAUGGCCUCACGCCCCCAGAUGUCUGAUUUGUCUUCGGCAGUCAGAAACAGCGACCCACCUAUGCAAACACUGUCCCAUCACAGUCACGGUCUGGACCCAGGUGAACACUUGGACGAAUGAAGGUGUUUCAAUCUCGGCUUCCUCCCGGAGCCAGGAAACGUAUCUGACUGGUGGGACAAGACUUUGA
rnacentral:rRNA from 1 species